CCUACGGGUGGCAGCAGUGGGGAAUAUUGCACAAUGGGGGAAACCCUGAUGCAGCGACGCCGCGUGAGUGAAGAAGGAUUUCGGGAUGUAAAGCUCUAGCAGCAGGGAAGAAAAGGACGGUACCUGAGUAAGAAGCCCCGGCUAACUACGUGCCAGCAGCCGCGGUAAUACGUAGGGGGCAAGCGUUCUCCGGAUUGACUGGGUGUAAAGGGAGCGUAGACGGCAGCACAAGUCUGGAGUGAAAUGCCGGGGCUUAACCCCGGAACUGCUUUGGAAACUGUGCAGCUAGAGUGCAGGAGAGGUAAGUGGCAUUCCUCGUGUAGCGGUGCACUGCGUAGAUCUUAGGCGGACCACCAGUGGCGCCGGCGGCUUACUGGACUGUACCUGCCGUUGAGGCUCGAAAGCGUGGGGAGCAAACAGGAUUAGCUACCCCAGUAGUC
rnacentral:rRNA from 1 species